UGUGUUUGGGCUUCUAUCUAGGAGUAAGUGGACGCUGAGCGCGUCGAAUCAGUAUCCGAAGGUUGUGUGAAUCGUGUAACGGUUCUUCCUGUCGGGUUAUGAAGUCGUAGGGUCUUGGUUCUUGGACGUUAUCGUGUGGCGGGCAUGAACAGCAACGAUAAGUCGUGGUGUCUUAGGUGCAGGAGGUCGAGAUUACUGUGUGGCGGGCUAUGGGCAGCAGCGACUAUUCCGAUCAUUGGCCUCUCCUAAGUCUUAAAAUUUGCUAAUUUAAUUCUCUUAUGGCUCUUGGGCAGUUGGUAGUCUUUUAUAGAUUAAGUUUUGGCUUGCAUCCUUUUGUUUUGUUUGCCGUAAGUUGCCCCGGUGUGGGUUC
rnacentral:lncRNA from 1 species